GGUGCCAUAGUGUAGCGGUUAGCAUGUUUGCUUUACACACAGAAGGUCCUGGGUUCGCACCCCAGUGGAGCCA
rfam:Pteropus alecto contig97156, whole genome shotgun sequence.